AUUGAACGCUGGCGGCAGGCCUAACACAUGCAAGUCGAGCGGAUGAAGGGAGCUUGCUCCUGGAUUCAGCGGCGGACGGGUGAGUAAUGCCUAGGAAUCUGCCUGGUAGUUGGGGAUAACGUCCGGAAACGGGCGCUAAUACCGCAUACGUCCUGAGGUAGAAAGUGGGGGAUCUUCGGACCUCACGCUAUCAGAUGAGCCUAGGUCGGAUUAGCUAGUUGGUGGGGUAAAGGCCUACCAAGGCGACGAUCCGUAACUGGUCUGAGAGGAUGAUCAGUCACACUGGAACUGAGACACGGUCCAGACUCCUACGGGAGGCAGCAGUGGGGAAUAUUGGACAAUGGGCGAAAGCCUGAUCCAGCCAUGCCGCGUGUGUGAAGAAGGUCUUCGGAUUGUAAAGCACUUUAAGUUGGGAAGAAGGGCAGUAAGUUAAUCCAUUGCUGUUUUGACGUUACCAACAGAAUAAGCACCGGCUAACUUCGUG
rnacentral:rRNA from 1 species